rnacentral:rRNA from 1 species
GAUGAACGCUGACAGAAUGCUUAACACAUGCAAGUCGAUGGGGAAGUGGUGCUUGCACCAUGGUAACCAUGGCGGACGGGUGAGUAACACGUAAGGAACUUACCUGCGGGACCGGGAUAACAGCAGGAAACUGCUGACAAGACCGGAUAAGGUCAUUAAGCUGCAUAGCUUAGUGAUGAAAGGAGACGCCUGCGGAGAGCCUUGCGUCCUAUUAGCUAGUUGGAGGGGUAACGGCCCACCAAGGCGAAGAUAGGUAGCCGGCCUGAGAGGGUGGACGGCCACAAGGGGACUGAGAUACGGCCCUUACUCCUACGGGAGGCAGCAGUGGGGAAUAUUGGACAAUGGGGGCAACCCUGAUCCAGCAAUUCUGUGUGCACGAAGACGGUUUUCGGAGUGUAAAGUGCUUUCAGCAGGGAAGAAGGAAGUGACGGUACCUGCAGAAGAAGCGACGGCUAAAUACGUG